AUCCAGCGAACUUGGCAGAGAUGCCUUGGUGCCUUCGGGAACGCUGAGACAGGUGCUGCAUGGCUGUCGUCAGCUCGUGUUGUGAAAUGUUGGGUUUAAGUCCCGCAACGAGCGCAACCCUUAUCCUUUGUUGCCAGCGAUUCGGUCGGGAACUCAAAGGAGACUGCCGGUGAUAAACCGGAGGAAGGUGGGGAUGACGUCAAGUCAUCAUGGCCCUUACGAGUAGGGCUACACACGUGCUACAAUGGCGCAUACAAAGAGAAGCGACCUCGCGAGAGCAAGCGGACCUCAUAAAGUGCGUCGUAGUCCGGAUCGGAGUCUGCAACUCGACUCCGUGAAGUCGGAAUCGCUAGUAAUCGUGGAUCAGAAUGCCACGGUGAAUACGUUCCCGGGCCUUGUACACACCGCCCGUCACACCAUGGGAGUGGGUUGCAAAAGAAGUAGGUAGCUUAACCUUCGGGAGGGCGCUUACCACUUUGUGAUUCAUGACUGGGGUGAAGUCGUAACAAGGUAGGCGUAGCGAG
rnacentral:rRNA from 1 species